GCGCGUAUAGCUCAGUGGUUAGAGCGUCCGUUUCACAUGCGGAAGGUCGUUGGUUCAAAUCCAACUACGCGCA
rnacentral:tRNA from 1 species